rnacentral:tRNA from 1 species
UCUUCAGAAGCUUGCUUCUAUCGAACCGUUUUAGAAACAUCAGUGGCCAACAGAUCGCCAGAUCGUUGAGCUGCAUUGGCGGGAUUUCGCCGUCUUCGUUUCUCUUUCUUCGCGGACGAACACGCGUUGGGUCUGCGUCAGGCAGGAUCCCACGGUCCCUGACGGGAUAUGCGUUAGGGGCUUGUAGCUCAGUUGGUUAGAGCGCGCGCUUGAUAAGCGUGAGGUCGGAAGUUCAAGUCUUCCCAGGCCCACCACUUUCAUCGAGUGAGCAUUCGUCUUCUGGUUACGGGGCCAUAGCUCAGCUGGGAGAGCGCGUGCUUUGCAAGCAUGAGGUCGUCGGUUCGAUCCCGUCUGGCUCCACCAGAUGGUUUGAUCAUCGACUGAUCGUGCACCGUCGUCCGCGAAACAUCACUUCGCAUCCUGCUAGUCUGGAUAGACAGCGAGAUGCGUGUUUUCUGACAUCGUAAAGAGGAGAUCGAUCCGAGCUGGGUCGUGCAGCAGAUUGUUGCGCGAAUCCUUCAUUAUCUCCGGAUCAUUUUCGGCGCUCGCUUUCAGCCGUGAGGUUGAAUGCGAGUUGUAAAAUGAUCCUUUUAGCGAAGCUUGACCGCCUCGCUAUCGGAACGAUCUUACGAAGCAAGCUGGUCUUUCUAGUCAAUGUCCGGCCGUGCGUAGCGUUCAUCGAGGGCGCGUGCCGAAAGGCAAUCGUACGGACAACAUUCUGCCGAGUGUGUGGACAUUGAUAAUGAGAGC